UGGGUUGUGGCUCAGUGGUAGAGUACUCACCUAGCAUGUGCAAGGCCCUGGGUUUGAUCCUCAGCACCACAC
rnacentral:tRNA from 1 species